CUUGAAUUAAAUAAAUCAACCAUCUUCAUGGCCCACAAACAACCUUAACCAAUGAAAUUGAAGAUGGCCCCACAUAUCUUCACUCUCCCACUGCUCUUCGUACGUACAGCUCUUUUUCUUCAUUUUCCAUAGGCGAUUUUGAAGCUUCUAAAACAGGUAUUUAAAGUUCGUUUUUGAUGAUUUUUUUAAGAAAUAUCAUUUAAAUAUAGCAUAUAUCAAGGGUAAUGUUUAAAAUAUAAGAUUUCAUGAAAAAUUUGAGAUUUUAAGGACGAUUUUGAAUACUGUGUUAGUUGAUAUUAGGUUAUUUUAUGUACUUUUCUGAUUAAAUGUUUUAAAAAAUAUCAUUUAAAUGUAGUGUAUAUGAUAGGUAAUGUUAAAAAUGUACUCAUGAAACUAUGUUUAUGGGUUUUAGAUGGAGAUAUAUAUAUAUAUAUUUAAGUCUGUUUUUGAUGAUUUUUAUUUGUUUAAUUCCUUUUAAUCUCAUUAAGAUAGAGUAAAUAUCCGAACAAAUUCGUCUUUAAUAGUUUAUUAGUUAGUGGAAGGACAAUUUCUGGGUAUUACAAAGAUAACUAGUUUUACUAAGAAAAAAUAGAUUUACUGGUAUUACUGAUAUUACUAUGUUUACUAGUUCUACUAGUAUUACGGGUAUUACUUUGUUUGUAGAUUUAAAAGAACUAGUAUUAGCGAGAGAAGACUGUAGGGUGUGAGAAUGAAAUAUUUGCCUUAAUAUUGAUAAUUUUUAUGAUAUUCCAUUUUAUUUCAGGAAAAAUGCAAAAUCCGCAUUGCACAAUCAUUUGUUUUGAUUACGGGGGAUAUUAUAUGAAAGAUGGGGCUGAAAUAAAAUGGAUAUCAGGAGAUGGUGAAGGUGAAGAUGAAAUUCACACGAUUGUGUUGAAAAAAUCAGUGGAGGAGGUGACAUACACUUGUUUGGUUGAGCGUAUUUUCAGAAAGAUCAAGGUAGAUGAAUCUAAGAUGGAAGCGAGGAUUAGUUACUUCCCAAUGGUAUUGAAUUGGAACAAGCCAUCAUAUAUCUGGAAUGAUGAAGACGAAUCCUGACACUGUAACUCGUGUGGUAGUGGAUGAGGCCAACAAAUUUAAGUAUCUGUUUUUUGCCUUGGGAGCUAGCAUAGAAGGGUUCAGCGCGAUGAGGAAAGUCCUCAUUGUGGAUGCAACACACCUCAAGAAUGUUUAUGGUGGAGUUCUAAUUGUUGCGGCUGCUCAGGAUCCUGAUCAUCACACCUACCCAAUUGCUUUCGGUGUAGCAGAUGGUGAAAAAAAUGAUAGCUGGAUGUGGUUUAUGGAACAGUUGAAAUCAGUGAUAGGAGAUGUCCCGGGAUUGGUAUUUCUUUCAGAUAGAAACAAAAGCUUGAUCAAUGCAGUAGGUGCAGUGUUCCCUCAGGCCGCUCAUGGGUAUUGUAUAUGGCAUUUGUCUCAAAAUGUUAAAGGCCACGUCCGUAACCACAGAGACACUUGUGCAUUUAAGUUUAUGGAGUGCGCACACGCUUAUACAGUGGCUGAGUUCUUGAACCUUUAUGAUGCUUUUCGCAGAAGGUAUCCUUCUGCAGCGGAGUAUCUUGACAAAAAUGUUGAAGAGAGGAAAUGGGCUAGAUGUUACUUUGAAGGAGAUAGGUACAAUGUUGACACCACCAAUUCAGUGGAAUCUUUUAAUGGUGUAAUUAAGGAAGCAAGAAAGUUCACCUUGCUACCAAUGUUUGAUGUCAUCAUUGCAAAAAUGGCUGAAUGGUUUAAUAAACAUAGGAAAGAGGCAGCUGAGAUACCACCUACACUAAAGCUUGUGCCUAUUGUGGAAACAGAAAUGUCCAAAAGAUGUCCAAUAAAACAGCAGAAGGAAAAAAAAUAUUUGAACUGUCACUUUUCAUGAUUUACAAAUAUUAAAAUAUAGCAAGAAAUUAAUCAUAAAUCUUACCAUAGACGGUGCACCUUACAGCUCCAGUAUUAACCAUGCCAAUAAGCACAUUGCUGGUUUUGAUCUCAAGAAACAGAAGUUUCUCAACCUCAAGUUGAAAUAGUGAGGAAGGAAUUUAAAAAAAAAAAUACAGUGAGGAAGAGCAAAUGAGAAUACAGAUCUGUUUAGGGAAUUGUUAUGAGGGCUGCAGGCGUUGUAAGCAACACAUUUAUAGUAGUCAGAUGAUGAUAACUGAAACAGUAGAAAAGAGAAUCUGUUGAGAAACUAUUCAUCUUUAGUAGUAGUUAAGAAGAGUAAUAAUAACAAUUCAUGUGGAAGAUGUGGAGUGAAUAUAGACAGUUAGAAAAGCAGUAGAACAGGUUGCAUUCGGAUUCUCUUUGUUUAAGGGAAGUGACUUGUGAGAGAUGUGAAGCACUGAAGAUUGUAUAAAGCUCUCCAGAUUCUACUCCAUGAUCUACUGAGUAUCCGCAUAGCAUGUUUCCCAUGUAUUCUCGAUUUGAUCUUGCAUCAGGGCCUUCAUGUGAUCUUAUAAUCAUCUAAAGACGGUAAAAAUAAACACAUUAAAGUUUAUAUAAUCACAAAUGAAAACAUCAUUAGAAGCUUUACAUUUACCUUUUAAGCUCGAUUGUUUUAGAAAACUCUCAGUGCAAUCAGCUCCCUAAAGAAGUCCCUUAUAAUUACUUUCGCUCAGACCAUCAGCCAUCCACAGACAUGACCAUAAAACAUGGUUAAGAGUUAUAUUCCCAUCAUCAUUCUCACCAACUUGUCUCAUGUCAACCUUGUCAAGUUCUUCUAAUGAACCCAACAAUAAAGUGCUAUCUUCAUGGACCCGAGAGGAGCUUUGAAAGAGGCCUCCAUGAGUUGUGUAGACACUAUCUGAUAGUACAUAUGCCAAAGGUAACGUUUUGAAACAAUCGAUACACCUGGAAUGUAGCACUGGACCGUGUUCACCGUAUCUGUGACAUGUCUCUUUCAAGAAACCAAACUCUUCUGCAGAAACUCUUGUUUCUGAGCUUCCUCUAAGUAAAAAUACCAUCUCAGGCAUCAGAAUUUGUAGUUAUCACCAAACUAAAUUGAACGUGAGAAAUAAAUCACCAAACUAAAUUGAACGUGGGUCCCACAACUUGCUGAAGGCGUGAAACUAUUAUUAGAACGCAUAGAUAAUGAAAAGAACCCUAACUCAUGUUAAACGAAGACAGUUUACAAUAUGGAAAAACUAUAAUUGUUUUUUUUUUCAUAUAACGUGAUGAACCUCAUUUAAAAAUGAAACUCAUAAUACAUUUGUAGGCCCGGCCCACAGAGAAUACCGAAGAAGCAAAGGUUUCCGACCUUCAUAAAUAUAUAUUAGUUUCGGCUAUCAAUGUACAAAGUAUCUUUUAGUUCAGUGGUAUAAAUGUUGUAGUUUAUAUCUCAAUAAUCCGGGUUCGAGCCACAGACUUGAUAUUUUUUCACACUUUUUAAAAGUGAGACCCACCAAAAUGCUGACGUGUCGGCUCAGGAGGAGAGAAACUCUCCUAUUAUAUUAUAGAUUUUUCAAUUUUUAUUAUAUUAUUAUUAUAAAUACUCUCUUAAAACCCCUCAUUGAGGGUGUCUUAAAAAAACAUAAACUUUCAAACAAACAAAAACAUAAAUUAACAUUUUUCUUUCAGAUCAAAGCACUCUACUCUGGCUAGAGACUCCAAAUUCCCAGACAAUCUGAAUCUUUCCUUUCUCUUCGCCAAUUGUGACGGGAACAAAACAGUUCAGAACAAAAGAAAUAUAUAUGGCUAGAAGAAGAAAACCGGAAGUGUGGCUUAAUAAUGAACUAGAUAGGAUAAGCGAAUUGCCUGAUCCUUUGAUCUGUCGAGUACUUUAUCAUCUUCCCACAAAGGAUGCUGUAAGAACGAGUGUUCUGUCCACCAGAUGGAGGACUCUCUGGCUUUGGGUUCCUCGUUUAGGAUUGAAUUAUCGAGUCUUCCAGAAAAAAGAUGCCUUGGUUAAUUUUGGUGACAGGUUUUUCGAUUCCGACAGGGUUUCAAGCAUAGACAAAGUUGAGUUAGAUGUGGAGUCAAAUUAAGGUGUAGAUUCGAAUAAAGGUGUAGAUUAUUACAAUUCUUACGUCACACCAUGGAUUGAUGCAGCAGUUAAGCGAAAGAUCCAACAUCUAGAUGUUCGGACUGAUCCAGAUAGUCCUCAUAUCCCUAAAUUUUGUUACAGGCGGUUUAGGGCUUAUUUUCAUGGGAUGCCCCUAAGCCUUUAUGUCUGCGAGACACUGGUAUCUUUAAAACUCGAUGGCGUCUUCUUGCGUGAUUCAGAGUUUAUUUACUUACCUAGUCUGAGGAUUUUGCACUUAAUAUCUAUGAUGAAUCCCAAAGAGGCCACUUUCGAGAGUCUUAUCUCCUCAUGUCCUGUCUUUUUAUGGGUUACGUCUGAGAUACUCGAAAUAAGGUUUUAAUCGUGUAGUUUGAGAAAUGCAAUUAAUGAUAUGAAUCUCUCAAAUCUCGAAGGGAAUGUUUGUUGGUCGUCUAUUGAUUACAACACGAGGUAUAAUUAAUAACACUGAGACAUAAGUAUCUCCUGGACAUUAGAGAGGGUUUUGUUAAUUAUUGUCCUUGGUCUUGUUUCUUGUCAGCAAAUAUCCAUAUAUUUGUCGAAUGGUUUGGUCAACCAGUUAUGAAUACUAAGUUACAUAGACAAAGUCACGUAUACAAUUCUUUUUUUACAACCUGUUCAGUAAGCCUUUAAAUUAAAGAACGUAGAAUGCAUAUAGGCGUAAAGAAUGCCUAAACCAGACUUAAAAUACAAAUAAAGAUAUUCAGUUAUUUAUUACAUAUUCGGAAGUUUUAAAACGAUUGAUCAACACCGAGUUUAGAGAAUAGAAUGCUUAGUCUUACAAAAUCACUUCAAAAUAGCAUAUUGGUAAAGAAACACAAAACUUUUACUGGUGUACAUAGUACAUACAGAUUGACACAUUUAUAAAAGUUUUAUGAAAUUCAAAAUCAUCUAAGCAAGCGAAAAUAGCAUAUGAAACUAUAAAUACAGAUUAUUCAAGCAAAAAAAGUUUUAUCUUUUAAGAAGCAGAUUUACUGCAAACCAAUAGCAAUAAUAAAGUCUGAAAUACAUAUUAGUAGUAUAAUUUUGUUCUCUGUUAUCUAAAUUGUAAAGGAAUUAAGAGAAAUAAUUGCAAAACUGCAUUAGCAACCGGAAAGAAUAAGUAAGAAAUGGAAAAGGAAAACUUGUUUGGAUUGAACAACUAGUCACUAGACUGAGUGACAAGCUGUUAACAAGCUGUUAGAACUCUCGGUAGACAGAAUAAUUAUAAGAAAUAUGUCCAUCCGUUUUCACUGGACAUGAGUUCAAGAAACUGACCCUCAGCCACAGAAAUUAACCAAUGAAUUCUCUAGCCUUUUGAAGCGGUGGAAUAUCAUGGAUAGUCGGUAAAUUCCUGAAUAUAUUGAUCACAAACUGAACCAAUUCCAUAUCUUCCUGGUUGAAUUCAUCCCUGGAAAGCAUAAAGAUCAUUUUAGGAAAAAGGGUUUUACACCACUUACACCAAGUACCUCAAACACAAUAAGGAGCUAAAUAAAUUUCUAAUAAUAUACUAACAAUUCUAAGUCCUGGAUAGAGGUUUAUAGCAAAACAGAAGUCACUGCAAAUAUGUUACUGAAAGUAAUGAUCUGUUGAGGACCAUCAUAUGAGUCGGAUUCUACAUGCAUUGUGAGAAACACCAACACCUUAACUAACAAUCAGAUGAUUUAAUGGAGUUUGGAAAUAAACUACAUUAUAUGGAGUUUGAAAAUAAAUAUGUCAUUGUUUUUCCAGAAAUAAACUUCUUGUUUUAGAUCCAUGUAAUUGGUUUUUGAAAAUAAACUUCUUGUUUGAGAUCUACGUAAUUGUUUUUUUUGGGAGUGUAGACCUUGAUGAGCAUAUAUAUAUAUUGGAAAAUCCAUGGUCAUUGAAUUCUUCAAAAUUAGAAUACUAGCUCGGGAUUCUUACAAAUGAGAGCUCAUCAUGUUAACCAGGUUAAUGACCAUCAUUGAUGGUCAAGAAACUUAUAAAAUACAUACAUCAAAAUCCAAAUGCAUUCUUUUCCAAAAUGAAAACGAAAUUCAGAAGCAUCAAUUCUUACUUGUUGAGAUUGAAACUCAUAGAGAAAAGAAAAGAAACCGAAUCACCCAAACCAAACAAACCAUUCUAACCGAUCUCGCAAGUCGCAAACCUAGUCAAAAUCAUAAGCUUUAAAUGUAAUAUAUUUUACACUUCGAUUCAGCCACAACAUAACAAUACACUGCUUGAUAAACACUACAAUAAUUGAAUUCUUGAAGGGACAAAGAGAAAGAAUCAACAUUCGUCUACACAUUGGUGCUUUCAGAAUUGCCCAAAUUCUUGAAUUGUUCUUGUGGCCAGUGUAAGAACGUCAAGAAACGCAGAGAAGGAUGCUCGAAGAAGC